rnacentral:rRNA from 1 species
GACGAACGCUGGCGGCGCGCCUAACACAUGCAAGUCGAACGGAGCUGAGAGAAGCUUGCUUUUCUUAGCUUAGUGGCGAACGGGUGAGUAACGCGUGAGUAACCUGCCCUGGAGUGGGGGACAACAGUUGGAAACGACUGCUAAUACCGCAUAAGCCCACGAUCCGGCAUCGGAUUGAGGGAAAAGGAUUUAUUCGCUUCAGGAUGGACUCGCGUCCAAUUAGCUAGUUGGUGAGGUAACGGCCCACCAAGGCGACGAUUGGUAGCCGGACUGAGAGGUUGAACGGCCACAUUGGGACUGAGACACGGCCCAGACUCCUACGGGAGGCAGCAGUGGGGGAUAUUGCACAAUGGGGGAAACCCUGAUGCAGCGACGCCGCGUGGAGGAAGAAGGUUUUCGGAUUGUAAACUCCUGUCGUUAGGGACGAUAAUGACGGUACCUAACAAGAAAGCACCGGCCAACUACGUG